GGGGAAGUAGAUGACUUUGGUGUCGUUGUUUCCCCCAGCUUUUUUGCAUUGACAGCGAGUAGCACCAGAGCCAUUGGACUGGGUCCUGCUUGUCAUCGUACUUGGUGAUACCCGGGGGUUUUAAUUUUUUGGGUAGAAUUAUCCUCCUCACCCGCCUGGAAAAGGCGGGGAACCUAUUGGAAUCAUCCCCUGGGUGUUCGACUUCUUGCUCACGCUCGCAGAACCGUUCGUCAAUGAUGGUACGGGCAUUGUAACUGGCAUUGAUCUUGUUGCGAAGAUCUUCUACUGGGUGUUCAAG
rnacentral:lncRNA from 1 species